CGGACGGGUGAGUAACGCGUGGGUAACCUACCCUGUACACACAGAUAACAUACCGAAAGGUAUGCUAAUACGGGAUAAUAUAUUUGAGAGGCAUCUCUUGAAUAUCAAAGGUGAGCCAGUACAGGAUGGACCCGCGUCUGAUUAGCUAGUUGGUAAGGUAACGGCUUACCAAGGCGACGAUCAGUAGCCGACCUGAGAGGGUGAUCGGCCACAUUGGAACUGAGACGCGGUCCAA
rnacentral:rRNA from 1 species